rnacentral:lncRNA from 1 species
ACCAACUCAAGGUAGGUCAGCUUGCGCUGCGCCUAAUGGCCCCGUGGUAGUAUACACUCCCCACGGCAAUCCACUUCGGCACCCAAUCCCGCACGGGCGAGCAACUGUCGCGUAGGCCAACUCCGGAGUGCCAGCUUGUAGGGAGCUACCCUCACAAGCGUGUGCGAAUGAGCACGAUGGCAAGCAAGCAAAGUCUAUAGCCCAGUAUAUCCUAUUCAGAACGUCAUAGUACCUUCUGUUCUUACUCUCGAUCCAUUGGUCGGCAUUUUCAAUAUAAUAACAAUGACAAUAGCUAGCAUCCACU